CAAACGACUCUCGGCAACGGAUAUCUCGGCUCUCGCAUCGAUGAAGAACGUANCGAAAUGCGAUACUUGGUGUGAAUUGCAGAAUCCCGUGAACCAUCGAGUCUUUGAACGCAAGUUGCGCCCGAAGCCACUAGGCCGAGGGCACGUCUGCCUGGGCGUCACGC
rnacentral:rRNA from 5 species